GUCCCGGUAGUGUAAGGGAUAAAGCACGGUGUCGAAAAGCACAAGCACGGGUUCGAGUCCCGUACGAGACU
rfam:Haemonchus contortus, ISE/inbred ISE, WGS project CAVP01000000 data, contig: Hcontortus_contig_pathogens_Hcontortus_scaffold_2292